UAGGGAAUCUUCCACAAUGGGCGCAAGCCUGAUGGAGCAACACCGCGUGAGUGAAGAAGGGUUUCGACUCGUAAAGCUCUGUUGUUAAAGAAGAACACGUAUGAGAGUAACUGUUCAUACGUUGACGGUAUUUAACCAGAAAGCCACGGCUAGCUACGUGUCAG
rnacentral:rRNA from 1 species